UUUACAUUCCAUUGAAUUGGCAGUCCAGGUAUAUUUAUUAAGUUCGUGAAACAGGUUCGAUAGAAACAACAUAGAUAAUUAUCGACCUAUCAGCUUAUUAUCACUUAUAUAUAAUUGCUUAGAAACCAACCGGUUGACGACCACGUAUUGCAUCUUCUAAAACCAAGACUUCAAUAUUAUCCAAUGAUGUGUUUUAAUACAGGAGAGAAAAAAGUAUUAAACUGCCCUCUCCUGUGGUAAGCAUCAUUACAUUUAUGGAAAAUACCAAUGCGACUUUGUCAGACGUCAGACACAAGCCCUAUGAGGAUGAAGAUAACGAGGAGGAUGGAUUCACCGAUGAGCAUGAUGCAAUCUUCAUUUUUCAGUAAUCAUUAGUAUUUUUUUCAUGCCAAAAGUGUUUAUUUGUUUUAGCUUCUUUUGUACCAAAGUAUUUUAUUCUAUUUUUUAUACCAAGCAGAGGUUUCUAUUUUUUGUUAGAUAUUUUUAAGGAGUUUUUUAAUAAAUACCUGAGAAUGAUUUAUUUAC